UACGAAAGGGGCUAGCGUUGCUCGGAAUCACUGGGCGUAAAGCGCACGUAGGCGGAUUGUUAAGUCGGGGGUGAAAUCCUGGAGCUCAACUCCAGAACUGCCUUCGAUACUGGCGAUCUUGAGUCCGGGAGAGGUGAGUGGAACUCCGAGUGUAGAGGUGAAAUUCGUAGAUAUUCGGAAGAACACCAGUGGCGAAGGCGGCUCACUGGCCCGGUACUGACGCUGAGACGCGAAAGCGUGGGGAGCAAACAGG
rnacentral:rRNA from 1 species